GUCGACCCCUAAGGCGAGGCUGAAAAGCGUAGGCGAUGGGAAACAGGUUAAUAUUCCUGUACUUGGUGUUACUGCGAAGGGGGGACGGAGAAGGCUAGGCUGGCCGGGCGACGGUUGUCCCGGUUUAAGCGUGUAGGGGGAGUGACCAGGUAAAUCCGGUUGCUUAUCAACCCUGAGGCGUGAUGACGAUGCACCACGGUGCAGAAGCAGUUGAUGCCAUGCUUCCAGGAAAAGCCUCUAAGCAUCAGGUAACAUUAAAUCGUACCCCAAACCGACACAGGUGGUCAGGUAGAGAAUACUCAGGCGCUUGAGAGAACUCGGGUGAAGGAACUAGGCAAAAUGGUGCCGUAACUUCGGGAGAAGGCACGCUGGCGUUAGGUGAAAGGACUAGCUCCUGGAGCUGAAGCCAGUCGCAGAUACCAGCUGGCUGCAACUGUUUAAUAAAAACACAGCACUGUGCAAACACGAAAGUGGACGUAUACGGUGUGACGCCUGCCCGGUGCUGGAAGGUUAAUUGAUGGGGUCAGCCGCAAGGCGAAGCUCUUGAUCGAAGCCCCAGUAAACGGCGGCCGUAACUAUAACGGUCCUAAGGUAGCGAAAUUCCUUGUCGGGUAAGUUCCGACCUGCACGAAUGGCGUAAUGAUGGCCAGGCUGUCUCCACCCGAGACUCAGUGAAAUUGAACUCGCUGUGAAGAUGCAGUGUACCCGCGGCAAGACGGAAAGACCCCGUGAACCUUUACUAUAGCUUGACACUGAACAUUGAGCCUUGAUGUGUAGGAUAGGUGGGAGGCCUUGAAGUGUGGACGCCAGUCUGCAUGGAGCCAACCUUGAGAUACCACCCUUUAAUGUUUGAUGUUCUAACUCGGCCCCAUGAUCUGGGGUGAGGACAGUGUCUGGUGGGUAGUUUGACUGGGGCGGUCUCCUCCCAAAGAGUAACGGAGGAGCACGAAGGUUAGCUAAUCACGGUCGGACAUCGUGAGGUUAGUGCAAAGGCAUAAGCUAGCUUGACUGCGAGAGUGACGGCUCGAGCAGGUACGAAAGUAGGUCUUAGUGAUCCGGUGGUUCUGAAUGGAAGGGCCAUCGCUCAACGGAUAAAAGGUACUCCGGGGAUAACAGGCUGAUACCGCCCAAGAGUUCAUAUCGACGGCGGUGUUUGGCACCUCGAUGUCGGCUCAUCACAUCCUGGGGCUGAAGUAGGUCCCAAGGGUAUGGCUGUUCGCCAUUUAAAGUGGUACGCGAGCUGGGUUUAGAACGUCGUGAGACAGUUCGGUCCCUAUCUGCCGUGGGCGUUGGAAGAUUGAGAGGGGCUGCUCCUAGUACGAGAGGACCGGAGUGGACGAAUCACUGGUGUUCGGGUUGUCAUGCCAAUGGCAUUGCCCGGUAGCUAAAUUCGGAAGAGAUAACCGCUGAAAGCAUCUAAGCGGGAAACUUGCCUCGAGAUGAGUCUUCCCUGGGGCUUAAAGCCCCCUGAAGGAACGUUAAAGACUAUGACGUUGAUAGGCUGGGUGUGUAAGUGCAGCGAUGUAUUGAGCUAACCAGUACUAAUGAUCCGUGAGGCUUAACCUU
rnacentral:rRNA from 1 species